GAUGAACGCUGGCGGCGUGCUUAACACAUGCAAGUCGAACGGAAAGGCCCUGCUUUUGUGGGGUUCUCGAGUGGCGAACGGGUGAGUAACACGUGAGUAACCUGCCCUUGACUUUGGGAUAACUUCAGGAAACUGGGGCUAUUACCGGUUAGGAGCUCCUGCUGCAUGGUGGGGGUUGGAAAGUUUCGGCGGUUGGGGAUGGACUCGCGGCUUAUCAGCUUGUUGGUGGUGUAGUGGCUUACCAAGGGUUUGACGGGUAGCCGGCAUGAGAGGGUGAACGGCCACAAUGGGACUGAGAGACGGCCCAGACGCCUACGGGAGGCAGCAGUGGGGAAUAUUGCACAAUGGGCGGAAGCCUGAUGCAGAAGCGCCGCGUGCGGGAAGAAGGCCUUCGGGUUGUAAACCGCUUUCGCCUGUGACGAAGCGUGAGUGACGGUAAUGGGUAAAGAAGCACCGGCUAACUACGUG
rnacentral:rRNA from 1 species